rnacentral:tmRNA from 1 species
GCCCUUCAAUUCCGGACCGGUCAUCCCUAUAAUGAAGAUGCCGUCCUUCGGGUCGGCUAUGGCGAUACACGGCGAUCGUAAUAAACCCAUCGGACCCGGGGGCAGUACCCGGCGCCUCCACCCAAAUCCUUUUUCAACAAGGAUUUCGGCGGGGGCGAAACAGGAUCGACGAGGGCGUAAAGGGUUGGUCGUCGCCCGGCAUGAUACCGCCGUCAUCGGGUCAACUUAAUAGUUGCCAACGACAACUAUGCUCCGGUUGCUCAGGCCGCGUAACGCGGUUUGAAAGACCGAACCAAAGCCCUUCAGGUUAGCCCCUGAAGGCGGGGCCGGCAGGGGCCUGGCAACAGAACCCUGCCACU